GUUUCCAGACGGGUUCAGCCCACAGCAUCAUCCCUCCACCACCGCGCCGGACACUGAAGACCAGAGAACGUCCCAGUCAAAGCCCGGUUUCCUGGUUUAUACUCGUUAACGUUUCCAGCAGCCGGAGAUUUUAUCAGCCGUCUGCAGAAACAGAGGAACAAAGAAACCAAACCGGGUUUUAACAUCACUACCUGAGGUUAACGUCAAACCGGGUCAUUCCAGAACAAAGACUUUCCUCCAACCUGCUUCACUGGUACCAGCCGCCGCGGUUCUGACAGAUGUUUUGAUGGCAGCCAUUUUGGAUUUGAAGUUUCAUUAAACCUGCAGGCUAACGAUUCUGGAAAUGUU